AUGGAGCUUUUUCGAAACUGUCUUGAUGACUGCGGGCUGGUGGACCUUGGUUUUUCUGGACCGAAAUUCACCUGGACAAAUCGGCAAGACGCGCAAUGUAAUGUGCGUGUCAGACUUGAUCGCGCCGUGGCUAAUGGAGAUUUUACUGCACGGUUUGAGUUUUAUCAAGUGGAGAACAUUAUUACUACGACCUCUGACCACUAUGUGGUGGCCAUCUCCCUCGACUCCCAACGUGUGUUGGCGGACCGGCCUCCUGUGCAGCAUGGGUUCCGCUAUGAGGCUAUGUGGCGUCGGGCUGAAGACUACACUGAGGUGGUGGAGAACGCUUGGAGGGCUCAAGGUACUGGAGCUCACUCACUGCGGGAGACAUGGUCUGGUUUGAAAUAUGUGUCCGGUGCUCUGAAGGAAUGGAGCAAGGUGUCCUUUGGCUGUGUUCGUCGUGCUAUCCAGAGGGCCGAAAGGAGACUCAAGACUCUGCGCAUGUCACCAGUGAAUGCGGCUGUGCUGAAGGAAGAGCGCGAGCUGGAAUGUCAGCUAUGUGAAUUGUUUGAGCGUGAGGAAAUCAUGGCUCGCCAACGGUCUCGGAUCGACUGGCUCCGGGCGGGAGAUCGUAAUACGGAAUUCUUCCAUGCUCGGGCCUCUGCUCGACGAUGCACCAAUCGUAUCAAGGCCCUUGUGCGGGAGGACGGGUCAAAAUGUGUCUCACAGGCUGGGAUGAAAGAGAUGGUACAUGAGUUUUAUGAGAAUCUCUUCUCCGCCGAGGACUGCUUCUCUAUGGAG
rnacentral:rRNA from 1 species